rnacentral:rRNA from 1 species
AACGAACGCUGGCGGCAUGCCUAACACAUGCAAGUCGAACGAGACCUUCGGGUCUAGUGGCGCACGGGUGCGUAACGCGUGGGAAUCUGCCCUUGGGUUCGGAAUAACAGUUGGAAACGACUGCUAAUACCGGAUGAUGACGUAAGUCCAAAGAUUUAUCGCCCAGGGAUGAGCCCGCGUAGGAUUAGCUAGUUGGUGGGGUAAAGGCCUACCAAGGCGACGAUCCUUAGCUGGUCUGAGAGGAUGAUCAGCCACACUGGGACUGAGACACGGCCCAGACUCCUACGGGAGGCAGGAGUGGGGAAUAGUGGACAAUGGGCGAAAGCCUGAUCCAGCAAUGCCGCGUGAGUGAUGAAGGCCUUAGGGUUGUAAAGCUCUUUUACCCGGGAUGAUAAUGACAGUACCGGGAGAAUAAGCCCCGGCUAACUCCGUG